AUAAAAUGGCAGGUAUUUAAGCAAGCAAAUUUUUGAUUUUGUCUUCAGUGAUGAAUAAUAACAAAAUGUUAAAACAAGUAACUGUUUUGUUACUGCUAACAACAGUGUGCAACGCAACUGUUAUAGGAUGGAGAGAUUGCGGUUCUCAUCUUGCAAACGUAUAUCGGAUCAGAAUCGCUGGUUGCACACACACACCUUGCAGAUUUGUACGAGGACAGUCCUAUCUUAUCGAAACUGAUGCUUCGUCGCGCAAGUGCAAACACUAAUACUCUUCCAUUUGCUGCACAAACUAUGAUUCUUGGCAUGCCUGUCACACUGAUGGAAGGAAAUGCAUGCGACCAUUUGAGGGUGGGAUCAUGUCCUGCACUAAAUGGUCAUGAUUUUACAUUCAGCGUAGUCUUUGAUGUGCCAGUAAUACUACCACCGCUUAACGUGGUAGUUACCACACUUCUGUGGAAUGAUUACGGUGACGUUGGUGUGUGCGUCAGUGUAGAUGUGAUUCUAACCUAGUACGUUCAAUACGAAAAUGUUAGCUCCGAAAAUCUUAGUUACUUGGUAUCUAUGCAAUGGUAUUUAAAAUAACUACUAAAAAUGUUAUUCAAAAACAUAUUUCCGGUGAAUUGAAUAUAUUUAACAUUGAGUGGUAACAUUGAAUGCUAAAAAAUUUAGAGUAAAAAGGUAUUCUACA